rnacentral:lncRNA from 1 species
GCAAAACGUACCGGUUCACUUCCCUUUUCCCCCCUCGCGAACAGAUAAGGAGAAAAGGCAGGAAGGGAGAUAGCGAGCUCCGAGGUGGGCGGCGGCUGCGAAGCUCGGCGGCGUCCAGGUGCGUUCCCUCCUCGGCCCCCUCCUCCUGCAACAUCUUCCGGCACCGCCGCAUCUCACCCGUCCCCUCCACUGACGCGUCGUGCACUGCCUCCAGCUCGGCGGCCAUGGGCGUCCGCCACAGGCCCGUCCGCUCGACCGCCUCCGGCGCGGCGACUAUGGGUGUCCGCCGCUGCAUUUAGUUGCUGCAGCUGCGGCUACUAGGGGGCUGGAGUAGACGACGAAGGACUGUCGGUGCUGAAGCUUCCUGACCGUGCUUGCCUACUCUUCGGUUUCUAUGUGUGUGGAUGUGGGCAAAUUUAAUGAUUCUUGUGCGUAUGUGUAUGGACAAAUUUGAUGUUUCCUGUAGAUAGAAGGAUAAAAGCUUCACAAUCAAUGUGAAUAUGCAAUUUCAAUGUUUGUCAUCCAAGCAGGAUUUAGUAUUGAAACCUCACAGAUUUCAUGAGGCAAUUCAGUGAACAACCAAACAAGUGAAUUCGUAUUCAUGUCCAUUUCAGUUUCCUUGCUGAAAUGGUAUUCCAACCAAUUCAUUACAGAGCCUUUCAAUAUGGACAUCCAA